UACAGAGGUGGCAAGCGUUGUUCGGAAUUACUGGGCGUAAAGGGCGCGUAGGCGGCCUACUAAGUCAGACGUGAAAUCCCCGGGCUCAACCUGGGAAUUGCGAUGGAGACUGCAAGGCUAGAAUCUGGCAGAGGGGGUAGAAUUCCACGUGUAGCAGUGAAAUGCGUAGAGAUGUGGAGGAACACCGAUGGCGAAGGCAGCCCCCUGGGUCAAGAUUGACGCUCAUGCACGAAAGGCGUGGGGAGCAAACAGG
rnacentral:rRNA from 1 species